rnacentral:rRNA from 1 species
UACGAAGGGGGCUAGCGUUGUCCGGAAUUAUUGGGCGUAAAGAGCUCGUAGGCGGUUUGUCGCGUCUGCUGUGAAAACCCGAGGCUCAACCUCGGGCCUGCAGUGGGUACGGGCAGACUAGAGUGCGGUAGGGGAGAUUGGAAUUCCUGGUGUAGCGGUGGAAUGCGCAGAUAUCAGGAGGAACACCGGUGGCGAAGGCGGGUCUCUGGGCCGUAACUGACGCUGAGGAGCGAAAGCGUGGGGAGCGAACAGG